AUUGAACGCUAGCGGCAUGCUUAACACAUGCAAGUCGAACGGCAGCGCGAGUAGCUUGCUACCUGGCGGCGAGUGGCGGACGGGUGAGUAAUGCGUAGGAAUCUACCUUAUAGUGGGGGAUAACUCGGGGAAACUCGGGCUAAUACCGCAUAAUCUCUAAGGAGCAAAGCGGGGGACCUUCGGGCCUCGUGCUGUAAGAUGAGCCUACGUCGGAUUAGCUAGUUGGUGGGGUAAUGGCCUACCAAGGCGACGAUCCGUAGCUGGUCUGAGAGGACGAUCAGCCACACUGGGACUGAGACACGGCCCAGACUCCUACGGGAGGCAGCAGUGGGGAAUAUUGGACAAUGGGGGAAACCCUGAUCCAGCAAUGCCGCGUGUGUGAAGAAGGCCUUCGGGUUGUAAAGCACUUUCAGUGGGGAAGAAAGAACCAAAAUUAAUACUUUUGGGUGUUGACGUUACCCACAGAAGAAGCACUGGCUAACUCUGUGCCAGCAGCCGCGGUAA
rnacentral:rRNA from 1 species